CCUACGGGAGGCAGCAGUAGGGAAUCUUCCACAAUGGGCGAAAGCCUGGUGGAGCAACGCCGCGUGAGUGAUGAAGGCCUUCGGGUUGUAAAACUCUGUCAUUCGGGACGAACCGGAGUCUGAGGAAAUGCAGACUCUCUGACGGUACCGGAGGAGGAAGCCCCGGCUAACUACGUGCCAGCAGCCGCGGUAAUACGUAGGGGGCAAGCGUUGUCCGGAUUCACUGGGCGUAAAGCGCGCGCAGGCGGUGAUGUAAGUCUGAGGUGAAAACCCGAAGCUCAACUUCGGGACUGCCUUGGAUACUGCGUCACUUGAGGAUAGGAGAGGCAAGGGGAAUUCCACGUGUAGCGGUGAAAUGCGUAGAGAUGUGGAGGAACACCUGUGGCGAAGGCGCCUUGCUGGCCUAUUUCUGACGCUGAGGCGCGAAAGCGUGGGGAGCAAACAGGAUUAGAUACCCUGGUAGUCCACGCUGUAAACGAUGAGUGCUGGGUGUAGGUGGGCUCAUACCCAUCUGUGCCGAAGCUAACGCAUUAAGCACUCCGCCUGGGGAGUACGGUCGCAAGCUGAAACUCAAAUGAAAUUGACGG
rnacentral:rRNA from 1 species